rnacentral:rRNA from 1 species
GCCUACGGGGCGCAGCAGUGAGGAAUAUUGGUCAAUGGGCGCGAGCCUGAACCAGCCAAGUCGCGUGAGGGAAGAUGGUCCUAUGGAUUGUAAACCUCUUUUGUCGGGGAGCAAAAGGCGCCACGUGUGGCGUUCCGAGAGUACCCGAAGAAAAAGCAUCGGCUAACUCCGUGCCAGCAGCCGCGGUAAUACGGAGGAUGCGAGCGUUAUCCGGAUUUAUUGGGUUUAAAGGGUGCGCAGGCGGAAGAUCAAGUCAGCGGCAAAAUUGAGAGGCUCAACCUCUUCGAGCCGUUGAAACUGGUUUU